GCAUUGUACUGACUUUAUCCCAAGAACAUCUUUACUUUUGGAAUAGUAGAAUAGAAAGGUUCUUACAUUUCAAUUUCUCUAUAGAAGAAGAUGCUCUUCUCUCUUCUUUGAAACUAUUGGUUAGAAGAAAAAAAAAGAGAAACAACCCUCCCGCAACAACAAUACAAAUAUUAUCCCAUACUUUCACACAAUAAAAUCCAUUACAUUUAAAGAAGAAAGCAACACAGACCUCUUUAGCUAGCCAGUUGUCCCAUGAAGAAAUCCUCAGCCUGUGAAUCAUAAAGCAAACGACAGGUCUCCCACAUCCCACAUAUUUCCAAACAUUUCGCUUUCCAAUCACAUCAGCCAAAUUCUUUCAUUAAUGGAGUCACUCACAAUUGGUAGGACUUCCUCCUAGACCAAAGGUUGUUUUCCAACUUCUUGAGAGACUCUGAAACUCAUCAAAAACAAUUCUCACCUGAAAACCGAUGAAGAUCCAAUAAUACGUUGUCCAAUUCUUCGUACUGCAUAAGGCGACUCUUGAGAUAUCUGUCAAGCAGCAAACUACAUAGACAGGCACACAAAGAGGCUCUUUCCCAUCAUCCCACAAGGACAUGUUGAAAUUAUGCAUUGUACUGACUUUAUCCCAAGAACAUCUUUACUUUUGGAAUAGUAGAAUAGAAAGGUUCUUACAUUUCAAUUUCUCAAUAGAAGAUGCUCUUCUCUCUUCUUUGAAACUAUUGGUUAGAAAAAAAAAGAGACACAACCCUCCCGCAACAACAUUACAAAUAUUAUCCCAUACUUUCACACAAUAAAAUCCAUUACAUUUAAAGAAGAAAGCAACACAGACCUCUUUAGCUAGCCAGUUGUCCCCUGAAGAAAUCCUCAGCCUGUGAAUCAUAAAGCAAACGACAGGUCUCCCACAUCCCACAUAUUUCUAAACAUUUCGCUUUCCAAUCACAUGAGCCAAUUUCAUUCUUUAAUGGAUUCACUCACAAUUGGUAGGACUUCCUCCUAGACCAAAGGUUGUUUUCCAACUUCUUGAGAGACUCUGAAACUCAUCAAAAACAAUUCUCACCUGAAAACCGAUGAAGAUCCAAUAAUACGUUGUCCAAUUCUUCGUACUGCAUAAGGCGACUCUUGAGAUAUCUGUCAAGCAGCAAACUACAUAGACAGGCACACAAAGAGGCUCUUUCCCAUCAUCCCACAAGGACAUGUUGAAAUUAUGCAUUGUACUGACUUUAUCCCAAGAACAUCUUUACUUUUGGAAUAGUAGAAUAGAAAGGUUCUUACAUUUCAAUUUCUCAAUAGAAGAAGAUGCUCUUCUCUCUUCUUUGAAACUAUUGGUUAGAAAAAAAAAGAGAAACAACCCUCCCACAACAAUACAAAUAUUAUCCCAUACUUUUACACAAUAAAAUCCAUUACAUUUAAAGAAGAAAGCAACACAGACCUCUUUAGCUAGCCAGUUGUCCCCUGAAGAAAUCCUCAGCCUGUGAAUCAUAAAGCAAACGACAGGUCUCCCACAUCCCACAUAUUUCUAAACAUUUCUCUUUCCAAUCACAUCAGCCAAUUUCAUUCUUUAAUGGAUUCACUCACAAUUGGUAGGACUUCCUCCUAGACCAAAGGUUGUUUUCCAACUUCUUGAAGUACUCUGAAACUCAUCAAAAACAAUUCUCACCUGAAAACUGAUGAAGAUCCAAUAAUAGGUUGUCCAAUUCUUCGUACUGCAUAUGGCGACUCUUGAGAUAUCUGUCAACCAGCAAACUACAUAGACAGGCACACAAAGAGGCUCUUUCCCAUCAUCCCACAAGGACAUGUUGAAAUUAUGCAUUGUACUGACUUGAUCCCAAGAACAUCUUUACUUUUGGAAUAGUAGAAUAGAAAGGUUCUUACAUUUCAAUUUCUCUAUAGAAGAAGAUGCUCUUCUCUUCUUUUAAACUAUUGGUUAGAAAAAAAAAAGAGAAACAACCCUCCCGCAACAAUACAAAUAUUAUCCCAUACUUUUACACAAUAACAUCCAUUACAUUUAAAGAAGAAAGCAACACAGACCUCUUUAGCUAGCCAGUUGUCCACUGAAGAAAUCCUCAGCCUGUGAAUCAUAAAGCAAACGACAGGUCUCCCACAUCCCACAUAUUUCUAAACAUUUCUCUUUCCAAUCACAUCAGCCAAUUUCAUUCUUGAAUUGAUUCACUCACAAUUGGUAGGACUUCCUCCUAGACCAAAGGUUGUUUUCCAACUUCUUGAGAGACUCUGAAACUCAUCAAAAACAAUUCUCACCUGAAAACCGAUGAAGAUCCAAUAAUAGGUUGUCCAAUUCUUCGUACUGCAUAUGGCGACUCUUGAGAUAUCUGUCAACCAGCAAACUACAUAGACAGGCACACAAAGAGGCUCUUUCCCAUCAUCCCACAAGGACAUGUUGAAAUUAUGCAUUGUACUGAAUUGAUCCCAAGAACAUCUUUACUUUUGGAAUAGCAGAAUAGAAAGUUUCUUACAUUUCAAUUUCUCUAUAGAAGAAGAUGCUCUUUUCUCUUCUUUGAAACUAUUGGUUAGAAAAAAAAAGAGAAACAACCCUCCCGCAACAACAAUACAAAUAUUAUCCAAUACUUUUAAAGAAGAAAGCAACACAGACCUCUAUAGCUAGCCAGUUGUCCCCUGAAGAAAUCCUCAGCCUGUGAAUCAUAAAGCAAACGACAGGUCUCCCACAUCCGACAUAUUUCCAAACAUUUCGCUUUCCAAUCACAUCAGCCAAUUUCAUUCUUUAAUGGAUUCACUCACAAUUGGUAGGACUUCCUCCUAGACCAAAGGUUGUUUUCCAACUUCUUAAGAGACUCUGAAACUCAUCAAAAACAAUUCUCACCUGAAAACCGAUGAAGAUCUGAUAAUACGUUGUCCAAUUCUUCGUACUGCAUAAGGCGACUCUUGAGAUAUCUGUCAAGCAGCAAACUACAUAGACAGGCACACAAAGAGGCUCUUUCCCAUCAUCCCACAAGGACAUGUUGAAAUUAUGCAUUGUACUGACUUUAUCCCAAGAACAUCUUUACUUUUGGAAUAGUAGAAUAGAAAGGUUCUUACGUUUCAAUUUCUCUAUAGAAGAAGAUGCUCUUCUCUUCUUUGAAACUAUUGGUUAGAAAAAAAAAGAGAAACAACCCUCCCGCAACAAUACAAAUAUUAUCCCAUACUUUUACACAAUAACAUCCAUUACAUUUAAAGAAGAAAGCAACACAGACCUCUUUAGUUAGCCAGUUGUCCCCUGAAGAAAUCCUCAACCUGUGAAUCAUAAAGCAAACGACAGGUCUCCC